rnacentral:rRNA from 1 species
AGCAUUUAUACGGUGAAACUGCGAAUGGCUCAUUAAAUCAGUUAUCGUUUAUUUGAUAGUACCUUACUACAUGGAUACCUGUGGUAAUUCUAGAGCUAAUACAUGCUGAAAACCUCGACUUCGGAAGGGGUGUAUUUAUUAGAUAAAAAACCAAUGCCCUUCGGGGCUCCUUGGUGAAUCAUAAUAACUUAACGAAUCGCAUGGCCUUGCGCCGGCGAUGGUUCAUUCAAAUUUCUGCCCUAUCAACUUUCGAUGGUAGGAUAGUGGCCUACCAUGGUGGCAACGGGUAACGGGGAAUUAGGGUUCGAUUCCGGAGAGGGAGCCUGAGAAACGGCUACCACAUCCAAGGAAGGCAGCAGGCGCGCAAAUUACCCAAUCCCGACACGGGGAGGUAGUGACAAUAAAUACUGAUACGGGGCUCUUUUGGGUCUCGUAAUUGGAAUGAGUACAAUCUAAAUCCCUUAACGAGGAACAAUUGGAGGGCAAGUCUGGUGCCAGCAGCCGCGGUAAUUCCAGCUCCAAUAGCGUAUAUUAAAGUUGUUGCAGUUAAAAAGCUCGUAGUUGAACCUUGGGUUCGGCCGGCCGGUCCGCCUCACCGCGAGUACUGUCCGGCCGUUCCUUUCCUUCUGGGGAAUCCCAUGGCCUUCACUGGCUGUGGGGGGAACCAGGACUUUUACUGUGAAAAAAUUAGAGUGUUCAAAGCAGGCCUUUGCUCGAAUACAUUAGCAUGGAAUAAUAGAAUAGGACGUGUGGUUCUAUUUUGUUGGUUUCUAGGACCGCCGUAAUGAUUAAUAGGGAUAGUCGGGGGCGUCAGUAUUCAGCUGUCAGAGGUGAAAUUCUUGGAUUUGCUGAAGACUAACUACUGCGAAAGCAUUCGCCAAGGAUGUUUUCAUUAAUCAGGGAACGAAAGUUAGGGGAUCGAAGACGAUCAGAUACCGUCGUAGUCUUAACCAUAAACUAUGCCGACUAGGGAUCGGGCGGGAUUCUACAAUGACCCGCUCGGCACCUUACGAG